AUGACAAGUAAACGUGAAAGCUCCCUGCCCAUAGGAUGCUUGGAAGGGACCUCCUCCCUCUCACCAGGGUGCAACGUGGACUGCCAGACCCAGUGUCUGAUAGACUGCAGGCAGGGCCAUUACUACACGGCUGGCAACUGCUUGGAGUGUCCAACAGGCUUCUAUUGCCCAGGGGGUCAAGCAGCUCCAAGGAAAUGCCCACUGGGAACAGCGAAUGAACUUACAGCUCAGGUGGAGAUCACAGCCUGCCAGGUUUGUCCCAAUGGCUAUCUCAGCCUAGAGAACGGAGCUGGGUGCCGUGCGUGUCCAGAUGGCUAUUCAUGUGAUCCACGCAGUGGUGUGCAGAGGAGCUGCAGUCCUGGUCAGUAUUCUCCAGAGGGAGAGUUGGAGUGCCUGGAAUGCCCAGAUAAUUACAUCUGCCCAGAUGGACGAGAUAGACAGCAUUGUUUGGUCGGGCAGGAGCCAGAUCCAAGCCGCACUCGUUGUGUUACCUGCACCCUUGGUUCUUUCUCAACUGAAGAUACUUCGAUAAGCCAGCCCUGCCCAGCAGGUCACUUCUGUGCGGACGGCCUUACAGUCACUCCUCCGUGCCCAGCAGGGAGUUUCAAGCCCAGAGAGGGACUUCACACACCCAGCAGCAGCUCCUCAUGCUUGCCUGGAACCGGUUUGUGUUUGAAGUGCCCUGCUGGAUAUUUCUGUCCUGCUGGAGCAAAUCACCCAACGCCGUGCCAGCCAGGUACAUACAGUCCUCUCCAAGGACAGGACGAAGUCACUGACUGCAGAGCCUGCCCAGCAGGGAGAGCUUGCACUCAGGCUGGAUUAGCACAGCCUGACUCGGAGUGCCUACCAGGGUUCGUGUGCCCAGUGGGGUCGUCCAGCCCUCAUUUUCCCAGCAACGCCUGCCCUCCAGGAACAGUUGGCAAUGACUUCAACCUCUUUGAUAAGUCCCAGUGUGAAACAUGCCCUGCUGGAUUUUUCUGUGUUAGAGGAACAGGGGGGAGACAGAAGCCUCCUGCUCCAUGCCCAGUUGGUCACUACUGCCCACCAGGCACAAAGCACUCAACACAGCACAAGUGUGCCCCAGGCACCUGGAGCAAUAGGACGAGGCUGACAUCAGAAGAUGAGUGCUUGCUGUGCCCUGCGGGCUGGUUUUGUGUAGGAGGACUUCAUGUCCCUUCUGGCAUGUGCAGCUCAGGGCAUUACUGCCCUCAAGGUACACGGAGAAGCACACAGUACCCCUGCCCUUCUGGAACUUACAGUACCAGGCUGGGAAAUGGCAGAGUGGAAGACUGCACGGUCUGCCCUGCAGGGGCUUUCUGCACCAGGGGAACCUCCAAGCCAGUUCUUUGCCCAGUAGGAACCUAUCGCAUGGAACGUGGUGCAAAAGUGGCUGCAGAUUGUGUCCCUUGUCCUGGAGGGUAUUACUGCCCUGAGCUUGGCACUGUUACUCCUCGAACAUGUGGUGCUGGCAACUUUUCAGACCAAGGUUCAGCCUCCUGCUUGCCAUGUGUUGUUGGACAUUACUGUGCUAGUGAGCACACCAGCUGGGAGGUGAUGCUGCAUGCCAUGAUUUGCCCGGCAGGUCUCUUGUGCCCAGAAGGACAGGCAGUCCCUCCAGAUGCCAGUAAAAAUGCCUGCCCAAGAGGAUACUACUGUCCCCAGGGAGAUGCUGUCUUGCCCACUAAACCUUGCCCCAAUGGGACCUAUGGUGAGCGGAAGGGACUAAGCAGUGCUGAGGAAUGCUUGCUGUGUCCUGCAGGGAAGUACUGCUACAGAGCCGGAAUGGAGCCUCUGGGAAUUCCCCACCCUACUGGGGAUUGCCCACCUGGCUAUAACUGCCCUCCAGGGACUGGAUUCCCUUUCUCCUUCCCCUGUGCACCAGGCUUCUUCUGGAAUAAUUCCAGUGCAGAGGGUGAAGACAGGUGCAAACCAUGUCCAGCUGGCUCCUACUGUGACUCUCCUGCCACGUCAGAGCCCAAAGCUUGCCCAGCAGGCUUUCACUGUGGCGAAGGAUGCUCUAAACCUGAGCCCUGCCCAGAGGGCACCUACAGUAACAAGAAGGGGCUGUCCGGGCCAUCAGAGUGCAGCCCGUGUGGCCGUGGUUUCUACUGUGCUGCUCCAGGACAGACUGGGCCAAGCGGUCCCUGCCAGGCUGGGUUCUUCUGCCAGGGCAGGGCUCUGACUCCAUUGCCCACAGACGGUGUGACAGGAAACCUGUGUCCCCCUGGGGCAUACUGCCCACCUGGGUCCCCAUUACCUGUCCCCUGUCCUCCAGGAACCUACAGCAACAGGAGUGGGUUGAGAAGCCUCCGUCAGUGCUUGGACUGCCCGCCCGGCCUUUAUUGUGAUGGGACAAACAGCCAGGCUCCCUCAGGACCAUGUGAACCUGGCUACUUCUGUACAGGAGGUGCCAAAAGUGCUCUUCAGCAGAUGGUCAUGGAGGGACAUUAUUCCUUAACAGGAGCUUUCAGGCCAGAGCCAUGUCCCCUUGGCAGCUUCCAGCCUGGCCGUGGGCAGUCUGUUUGUAGGGACUGUCCGGAGGGUACAUUCUGCAAUGAGACAGGCCUGGCUGAAGCCCAGCCUUGUCCAAAAGGGCAUUUCUGCUCGGCUGGAAGUUCCCUGCCUCUCCCAUGUCCAGUGGGAACAUACACAGAUGUACCCAGGACAGGUUCGUGCAAGCCCUGCCCAGCAGGCACGUACUGCAGCAUGGCCGGUCUGACGGAGCCAGAAGGCCGUUGCCAGCCUGGACAUUUCUGCACUCAGGGGUCCAGCAGCUCCUCACCUGUGAGUACUGAACAUCAUGUGUUGCUGCAGCCCCUUCAGCGCUACAAAAGCUUUCAUAAACCACGCUCAUCUUAUUUCCCUUGCUUCAGGUGGGGCUUUCUUUUGGAGAUCUUUGUCCACCAGGACAUUAUUGCCCUGCUGGCACAACGCACCCAAAAGAGAUGCCGUGCCCUGCUGGCACCUGGAACGGACGGAGGGGAGCCCAGGAUGCCACUUGGUGUCUUCCUUGUGCCCCUGGAUUUUUCUGCAGUAUGUCUGGCCAAGAUGCUCCUGGAGGACUUUGUGCACAAGGUGAGACACGACCAGAACUUAGCUGCUCAGAAAUUCAGGGUUUUUUUGCAUAACAGAGAGGACUCAAGUGCUUUCUGCUUUAAGGCUAUUACUGCACGGGAAGGACAAAGACUGCAAAGCCAGAGGAUGGUGUCACUGGAAAUAUCUGUCCUCGAGGACAUUUCUGCCCUGCAGGCUCAGCAGCGCCUUCUCCCUGCCCCAGUGGAGAAUACAGUAACGCAACAGGUCAAGACAAAUGCUUUCCUUGCCCUGCUGGGUUUCACUGUCCAAAAGGACUAA
ensembl:lncRNA